rnacentral:lncRNA from 1 species
GGGGAAUCGAUCAACAGAUUUACAUACCUUAUAAAUAUAGGGUAUAUAAUAACAUAAACGUACCUCUUUUGAACCAUUUUUAACAGAAAUUAUUCUUUCUACAUCGUAAAGGGCUGGCAAAACUUUUCUUUUUUUAAUUAUUUCUUUUCUGUCGGCAAUUUCUCCAUCAUUCAUCUGUUUAUAGUCUAAGCGGGGUUUCUUCCUUAAAUCCAUUCCGUCCGAAAUUAUCGUAUAACUGCUAAUAUUAUUAAUUACGAUAAAGGCAUAACGGCAAAGUGACAUCUAUUGGCGGGGUGUUCGUUGAGGGGAGUUAUCUUUUCUUUUCUUAUCUACUGAUCACCAGACGACAACAACAAGAUGGGAACCAGUAUAGAAAAGUUUCACGAGUUAUCUCGCCUUGAAAUGUCCGCUAUUCUUG